GGGUUGUGAGGUUAAGCGACUAAGCGUACACGGUGGAUGCCCUGGCAGUCAGAGGCGAUGAAGGACGUGCUAAUCUGCGAUAAGCGUCGGUAAGGUGAUAUGAACCGUUAUAACCGGCGAUUUCCGAAUGGGGAAACCCAGUGUGAUUCGUCACACUAUCAUUAACUGAAUCCAUAGGUUAAUGAGGCGAACCGGGGGAACUGAAACAUCUAAGUACCCCGAGGAAAAGAAAUCAACCGAGAUUCCCCCAGUAGCGGCGAGCGAACGGGGAGGAGCCCAGAGCCUGAAUCAGUGUGUGUGUUAGUGGAAGCGUCUGGAAAGGCGCGCGAUACAGGGUGACAGCCCCGUACACAAAAAUGCACAUAUUGUGAGCUCGAUGAGUAGGGCGGGACACGUGGUAUCCUGUCUGAAUAUGGGGGGACCAUCCUCCAAGGCUAAAUACUCCUGACUGACCGAUAGUGAACCAGUACCGUGAGGGAAAGGCGAAAAGAACCCCGGCGAGGGGAGUGAAAAAGAACCUGAAACCGUGUACGUACAAGCAGUGGGAGCCUCUUUAUGGGGUGACUGCGUACCUUUUGUAUAAUGGGUCAGCGACUUAUAUUCUGUAGCAAGGUUAACCGAAUAGGGGAGCCGAAGGGAAACCGAGUCUUAACUGGGCGUUAAGUUGCAGGGUAUAGACCCGAAACCCGGUGAUCUAGCCAUGGGCAGGUUGAAGGUUGGGUAACACUAACUGGAGGACCGAACCGACUAAUGUUGAAAAAUUAGCGGAUGACUUGUGGCUGGGGGUGAAAGGCCAAUCAAACCGGGAGAUAGCUGGUUCUCCCCGAAAGCUAUUUAGGUAGCGCCUCGUGAAUUCAUCUCCGGGGGUAGAGCACUGUUUCGGCAAGGGGGUCAUCCCGACUUACCAACCCGAUGCAAACUGCGAAUACCGGAGAAUGUUAUCACGGGAGACACACGGCGGGUGCUAACGUCCGUCGUGAAGAGGGAAACAACCCAGACCGCCAGCUAAGGUCCCAAAGUCAUGGUUAAGUGGGAAACGAUGUGGGAAGGCCCAGACAGCCAGGAUGUUGGCUUAGAAGCAGCCAUCAUUUAAAGAAAGCGUAAUAGCUCACUGGUCGAGUCGGCCUGCGCGGAAGAUGUAACGGGGCUAAACCAUGCACCGAAGCUGCGGCAGCGACGCUUAUGCGUUGUUGGGUAGGGGAGCGUUCUGUAAGCCUGUGAAGGUGUGCUGUGAGGCAUGCUGGAGGUAUCAGAAGUGCGAAUGCUGACAUAAGUAACGAUAAAGCGGGUGAAAAGCCCGCUCGCCGGAAGACCAAGGGUUCCUGUCCAACGUUAAUCGGGGCAGGGUGAGUCGACCCCUAAGGCGAGGCCGAAAGGCGUAGUCGAUGGGAAACAGGUUAAUAUUCCUGUACUUGGUGUUACUGCGAAGGGGGGACGGAGAAGGCUAUGUUGGCCGGGCGACGGUUGUCCCGGUUUAAGCGUGUAGGCUGGUUUUCCAGGCAAAUCCGGAAAAUCAAGGCUGAGGCGUGAUGACGAGGCACUACGGUGCUGAAGCGACAAAUGCCCUGCUUCCAGGAAAAGCCUCUAAGCAUCAGGUAACAUCGAAUCGUACCCCAAACCGACACAGGUGGUCAGGUAGAGAAUACCAAGGCGCUUGAGAGAACUCGGGUGAAGGAACUAGGCAAAAUGGUGCCGUAACUUCGGGAGAAGGCACGCUGAUAUGUAGGUGAAGCGACUUGCUCGUGGAGCUGAAAUCAGUCGAAGAUACCAGCUGGCUGCAACUGUUUAUUAAAAACACAGCACUGUGCAAACACGAAAGUGGACGUAUACGGUGUGACGCCUGCCCGGUGCCGGAAGGUUAAUUGAUGGGGUUAGCGCAAGCGAAGCUCUUGAUCGAAGCCCCGGUAAACGGCGGCCGUAACUAUAACGGUCCUAAGGUAGCGAAAUUCCUUGUCGGGUAAGUUCCGACCUGCACGAAUGGCGUAAUGAUGGCCAGGCUGUCUCCACCCGAGACUCAGUGAAAUUGAACUCGCUGUGAAGAUGCAGUGUACCCGCGGCAAGACGGAAAGACCCCGUGAACCUUUACUAUAGCUUGACACUGAACAUUGAGCCUUGAUGUGUAGGAUAGGUGGGAGGCUUUGAAGUGUGGACGCCAGUCUGCAUGGAGCCGGCCUUGAAAUACCACCCUUUAAUGUUUGAUGUUCUAACGUUGGCCCCUUAUCGGGGUUGCGGACAGUGUCUGGUGGGUAGUUUGACUGGGGCGGUCUCCUCCUAAAGAGUAACGGAGGAGCACGAAGGUUGGCUAAUCCUGGUCGGACAUCAGGAGGUUAGUGCAAUGGCAUAAGCCAGCUUGACUGCGAGCGUGACGGCGCGAGCAGGUGCGAAAGCAGGUCAUAGUGAUCCGGUGGUUCUGAAUGGAAGGGCCAUCGCUCAACGGAUAAAAGGUACUCCGGGGAUAACAGGCUGAUACCGCCCAAGAGUUCAUAUCGACGGCGGUGUUUGGCACCUCGAUGUCGGCUCAUCACAUCCUGGGGCUGAAGUAGGUCCCAAGGGUAUGGCUGUUCGCCAUUUAAAGUGGUACGCGAGCUGGGUUUAGAACGUCGUGAGACAGUUCGGUCCCUAUCUGCCGUGGGCGCUGGAGAACUGAGGGGGGCUGCUCCUAGUACGAGAGGACCGGAGUGGACGCAUCACUGGUGUUCGGGUUGUCAUGCCAAUGGCACUGCCCGGUAGCUAAAUGCGGAAGAGAUAAGUGCUGAAAGCAUCUAAGCACGAAACUUGCCCCGAGAUGAGUUCUCCCUGACCCUUUAGGGUCCUGAAGGAACGUUGAAGACGACGACGUUGAUAGGCCGGGUGUGUAAGCGCAGCGAUGCGUUGAGCUAACCGGUACUAAUGAACCGUGAGGCUUAACCUUACAACGCCGAAGGUGUUU
rnacentral:rRNA from 1 species